rnacentral:lncRNA from 1 species
UGAUAUUUCUGCAUGAGUCAUGCCCCGAGAUAAUUAACUCUGACCCUCUUGAAUCUCUGGCCUUUUCUUUGAUCUUCUCGAAUGUAUACUAUCCACAUGCCCUUGGCCCUACCCUUCGGAUGCUUAUAUGUAACAGUAUUCCUCCUUAACUCUAGCUUCUUAUGGAACCAAUAUCUGGUUUCAUCUAUCAGAACUAUUAAUCAAUAAGAAGUGUGGAUUAUUGGAGCCUACAAACAAUAGUUUUCAAAAAUAUAUAAUCCGUGUAAAAAAAUUACAAAGUCGUAAUAUAGAAGACAUUGUUGGGAAUUGGAUAAAAUGUUGUAAGAUGUUAAGCGUUUUGCAUGAGUUGAAAAAAGGAAAAGAAAUUGUGUUAUUGGGAUUCAAAAUUCAAAUAUUGGUGUGGGUUCUCUCUAUAGUUUAAAAUGAAUGCAUUUUUUAUUGCUCUCCUCUCUCCCCCUCUGUCCUCAAAGAUGCUCAUCUUUCUUUGUUUUUUAAAACUGUCUUGGUUUUUGCGUUUCUCCUUUUUACUUCUCUAAUUGUAGGUUUGCUUUUUGUUUAUUGAUUUUUGAGUGAAAAGCUCAUAAUAAGAAUUAGACUUCUGAUUAGAUUACUUUUGCCUAUACAAUUAAAAAACUUUAAUCUUGCCAGACGAGAUGCGUAGAAUAUUCAAAAUAUUCAAUUGUAGGCAGAAUAUUUUAGUUCCCUUUUGCUAUUGCUUUAGCUCAAUUUGUCCAUAUAAUAUGAACCAGUCUCUUCAAUUUCAAAACAUAUUCCAACAGAAAUUCUGAAUGUCACUGCAGAUUGUCAAUGGUGAUAUUUGUUUGGAUAGCAGAAGCGAAGAGAGUCGGCACAAGUGAGCAAGCAAAUUUUCCUGUAAUGAAUGGGAUAAAUAAGGUUCUCCUUUCACUAUUAAGAUUUUUGUUCGUGUCAUUAGAGAGUAUUAUUGAAUUGAAAAGAAGUCUCUGGUUGGUGAAGGACAGACAUGGUCCACAGAUACUAUGUAGCUUUGUUGGUUGGAUCAUAACUAGUUUGGUGGCUAAACAAUGGAGUGUGAUUUAAGAAGUAUUUCUGCACGUACACAUACAUUUCAUCUUUGCAUUCAUCAACCGAUCUACGUAUAGAUUAUGUUGUUUCAUUUUUAUCCAUUCCUUUUUGUGAUAAAAGUUGGGUGAGGAGAGAAGAAGAGGGGGAAGUUUACAAGAGGAAGAUAAAUUCUCUGUUGCCUCCUUUGGGAAGUGGUGAAGACCCUUUUCUUCAGACCCCUUUCGCUUUCUCUCUUUUUUAGCUGAGUGUGUAGAGUUUUAUUUGCAUAUCAUCUUGGUUUGUCCAUAAUUAAAAAUUGAAUAUUCUAUUUUCAGAUUUGUGUUAAAAUUUUUAGGAGAUAAAUAAUUAAUUAUCUAAAAUUCCACUAAAUAUACUGAAAAGUAUUUACAAAAGAAGAAAAUCAAUAAUAACAAGUAUGUUUAUAAUGUGGUUAUAAGCAAGUACACGUGUAAGAUUAGACUUAGAAAAUGAACAUGUGUACAUAUUCAAUCUUAUGUGUAAUGUAAAUUCACCAAGCAAUAACAUAUAUAACUUUAAUUCUAUUGCGAAGCACUUGUUUACGAUCAUUGGCUGCUUCUGUUUGAUUUUGAAGUAAGAUUUUAGACUAUCUUAAGAUAUAAUUGGACUAAGAUUUCUCAUGAAUCUAAUUACUCUAAUUUAUGUUAUGAAUUUUUUUAUUUACAGACUGUCUUAAAGUAUGAUACUUUGUCCAAAUUUAGCAUUAGGUUUUAACCUAUCAAAAAAUUUUAUUUUAAAAAAUCUACAUACAUAAUUGAGCUUAGGUGUUCCUAUAAAAUUUUAGCUCUAACUUUUAGGGUCCAUCUGGUUCUGGUCUCACAUCAUUUUACUAAGUGAAAGUCUAAUUAAUAAUCUUUCAAAAUUAUUCUUUCAAUUCUGUAUUUAGUUUCUUUGCUUAAACCUUCCUAAAAUUAUUUAACAUCCCAAGUAAUACUUUUUACACACCAAAAGGAAAAUUUCAAACAUUCAAAUACAAGGUCUAAUUUAAGAUAUCCAAAGAAAAAUAAUUGAAAAAUAGAAAAUACAUAAAACACCAAAAUUAUUUCAAAGGGCGGGCACAUCUUUUCUUUUUUCCUUUAGCCUUUUGAAGUUCCUUUCUCCUUUUAAACUUUCUCUUUACCAAAAAUAUAUAUAAAAAAAGCAUUUCACUUUAAAUUUCAUUAUAAAAGAGCUUAAAAACAUGUAAAAGCGUGAUUUCCUAACCUAAUCUUCCAUAAACUUCACUUUCUCUCACUUACCUCCUUUGAACACCAAACUUCUCACUUUGAUUUCUUCUUGUUUAUGGUUCCU